GCUGGGUAUGGUGGCGUGUGCCUGUAAUCCCAGCUACUUUGGAGGCUGAGGCAGGAGAAUCACUUGAACCCAGGAGAUGGAGGUUGCAGUGAGCCGAGAUCACACCACUGCACUUCAGCCUGGGCAACAGAGUAAGAUUCCGUCUCAA
rfam:Pan troglodytes isolate Yerkes chimp pedigree #C0471 (Clint) chromosome 6, whole genome shotgun sequence.